GAAGUUUUCCGCAACUGACGGAUUGGUGGGUCACCACCGGGGAACGGGAAAUUAUAACGCCGACCGUCUGGGCAGUUUUG
rfam:Firmicutes bacterium CAG:272 genomic scaffold, scf282